rnacentral:miRNA from 1 species
GGAUGGUGAUGAUCGUGCCCAUGAUCAUGGUGCCCAUGCCCAUGAGUGUGGCCAUGACCGUGGUGAUGGUGACCGUGAUCAUGAGCAUGAUCAUGA